ensembl:lincRNA Gm26692 predicted gene, 26692
GCUCGUAGCUUCGUGUGUGCAGCGCAUGGCUGGACUUCAGCUUCCGCGAGGCUGGUUUCGAGGGAAAAGAUUAUUUUAUUUUUAAAAGCACAUGAAAGGAAUAUGGAAGAACUUUGGGAUACCUUGACAAAACUAAACCUUCAAAUUAUAGGUAUAGAUUAGGAAGGAGCAUCCUAAGCCAACACACACGUCUAUAAAGAUACAAGAAGCACACAGAACACCAAAUAAACUCUUUACAGUAUAAUCAUGGUUAAACCACCAAAUAAUGCAGAACAAAGAAAAAUACUGAAAGUUGAAAAAGCCACAAGUAACAUAAACUAAACAAAAUUAUCUGCUGUAGUUGAAGAAAAAAAAACUUUCCAUGAUCCAAACAGUCUGAAGGAAUUCAUAUCCAAUAGACCAAGCCCACAAAGGAUACUGGAUGUAAUACUUCAGACUGAAGAAGCACAGCCAAGAUACUGCAGAAAGAGAGUGAGUGAAGCAUGAGGAGUGUGAGAGAAAACGACAUGUCUGUAAACAACACACACAACACAGGCUGGCUGAAAGAAUAAGAAACAAAAUCCAUCUUUCUGUUGUUUUUGAGGCCCCACAUUAGAGUAAAAGAAUGGAAAACAGUACUUCAAUCUAAUGGGACCAGGAAGCAAGAAGUACUGCAAUCCUGACAUCUGGCAAAACAAACACACAAAAC